rnacentral:rRNA from 1 species
UGAAUACGAGAUGCUACGGCGUCGAAGCAGUCUAUGUCAUACUUCCAAGAAAAGCUCGCACUGUCAUAAACAAAUAAUGCCUGUACCAUAACCGACACAGGUGGGUAGGUAGAGUAUACUAAGGGGCGCGAGAUAACUCUCUCUAAGGAACUCGGCAAAAUGACUCCGUAACUUCGGGAGAAGGAGUGCCUUAUUUAUAAGGUUGCAAUAACAAGAUCCAAGCAACUGUUUAUCAAAAACACAGGUCUCCGCUAAGUCGUAAGACGAUGUAUGGGGGCUGACGCCUGCCCAGUGCCAGAAGGUUAAAGAAGUUGGUUAGCAUUCGCGAAGCUGAUAACUGAAGCCCUGGUGAACGGCGGCCGUAACAAUAACGGUCCUAAGGUAGCGAAAUUCCUUGUCGGGUAAGUUCCGACCCGCACGAAAGGCGUAAUGAUUUGGAUACUGUCUCGGAGAGGGGCUCGGUGAAAUAGACUUGUCUGUGAAGAUGCGGACUACCUGCACCAGGACAGAAAGACCCUAUGAAGCUUUACUGUAACUUGAGAUUGAAAUUGGACUUUACUUGCGCAGUAUAGGUGGGAGGCGUUGAUAAUAUUCUUGCGGGAUUAUUUGAGCCAUCAGUGAGAUACCACUCUUGUAAUGUUAGAUAUCUAACUUUGUAUCAUUAUCUGGUCAAAGGACAGUUACAGGCGGGCAGUUUGACUGGGGCGGUCGCCUCCUAAACGGUAACGGAGGCGCACAGAGGUUUCCUCUGAACGGGUAGAAAUCGUAUCUAGAGUGUAAAGGCAUAAGGAAGCUUGACUGUGAGACCUACAAGUCGAGCAGGGACGAAAGUCGGUCUCAGUGAUCUGACGGUGCUGAGUGGAAAGGCCGUCACUCAACGGAUAAAAGUUACUCUAAGGAUAACAGGCUGAUCUCCCCCAAGAGUUCACAUCGACGGGGAGGUUUGGCACCUCGAUGUCGGCUCAUCGCAUCCUGGGGCGGUAGUACGUCCCAAGGGUUGGGCUGUUCGCCCAUGAAAGCGGUACGCGAGCUGGGUUCAGAACGUCGUGAGACAGUUCGGUCCAUAUCCGGUGUAGGCGUUAGAAUAUUGAGAGGAGCCUUCUUUAGUACGAGAGGACCGAGAAGGACAUACCUCUGGUGUACCAGUUAUCGUGCCAACGGUAAACGCUGGGUAGCUAUGUAUGGAGUGGAUAACCGCUGAAAGCAUCUAAGUGGGAAGCCCACCUCAAGAUAAGUAUUCUCAC